UAGGGGGUGCCUUUCCAUCUGGAAGAAUCUGGAGACAGGUGCUGCAUGGCUGUCGUCAGCUCGUGUCGUGAGAUGUUGGGUUAAGUCCCGCAACGAGCGCAACCCUUGCCUUUAGUUGCCAGCAGUUCGGCUGGGCACUCUAAAGGGACUGCCGGUGUUAAACCGGAGGAAGGUGGGGAUGACGUCAAGUCCUCAUGGCCUUUAUGACCAGGGCUACACACGUACUACAAUGGCCGAUACAAAGGGCAGCGACACUGCGAGGUGAAGCCAAUCCCGUAAAAUCGGUCUCAGUCCGGAUUGGAGUCUGCAACUCGACUCCAUGAAGUUGGAAUCGCUAGUAAUCGUGGAUCAGCAUGCCACGGUGAAUACGUUCCCGGGCCUU
rnacentral:rRNA from 1 species